rnacentral:ncRNA from 2 species
UAGUAUCUUCAGGGCAGGGUGUAAUUCCCGACCGGCGGUAGAGUCCGCGAGCCAUAUGUAUGGCUGACUUGGUGAAAUCCCAAGACCGACAGUAAAGUCUGGAUGGAAGAAGGUAUAG